UACGGGGGGAGCAAGCGUUGUUCGGAUUUACUGGGCGUAAAGGGCGCGUAGGCGGCCACCGCAAGUCGACUGUGAAAUCUCCGGGCUUAACCCGGAAAGGUCAGCCGAUACUGCGGGGCUAGAGUGCAGAAGGGGCAACUGGAAUUCUCGGUGUAGCGGUGAAAUGCGUAGAUAUCGAGAGGAACACCUGCGGCGAGGGCGGGUUGCCGGGCUGACACUGACGCUGAGGAGCGAAAGCGUGGGAGCAAACAGG
rnacentral:rRNA from 1 species